UACGUAGGUGGCAAGCGUUGUCCGGAUUUACUGGGCGUAAAGAGCGCGCAGGCGGUCGGAUCAGUCGAAUGUGAAAGCCCCCGGCUCAACUGGGGAGGGUCAUUCGAUACUGUCCGACUCGAAGGCAGGAGAGGGAAGCGGAAUUCCCGGUGUAGUGGUGAAAUGCGUAGAUAUCGGGAGGAACACCAGUGGCGAAGGCGGCUUUCUGGCCUGUUCUUGACGCUGAGGCGCGAAAGCUAGAGGAGCGAACGGG
rnacentral:rRNA from 1 species